ACCCAGAUGACGAGUCGCGAACGGGACGAAAUGCGAGUCAUGGAU
rnacentral:hammerhead_ribozyme from 1 species